CAGCAUGGUGGGGCAUUUUCUAAUCAAUUUCUUUAACCUCUCCUAAGUCUCAUGAAACAUCUCCCCAUCCUACUAAAAAAAACUAGUUAUGGCCUUUUUGAGUUG